GUCAACAUACCCAAGUGGUUACGGGGUUUGACUUGAAAUCAAAUGUGAUCUCACGCGCAGGUUCGAACCCUGCUGUUGACG
rfam:Angomonas deanei Cont12450, whole genome shotgun sequence.